CCUCCGCUUAUCAACCUCCUCAACGAUGGAUUCCCAAUCUUAACUUUUAAGUUGAGACCACUUUUUUUCUUAUUUUUCGUAGUCAGCACCCCUUCCUCUCCAACUUUCAAAGCUUCACCCGGCACCAUUCCACCCAUAGACAGACCAGGUUCUGGCAACCCGUGCUUCCCGAAAGAAAUCGGAAGCUUUAAGGCAUUGUCUGUAGAUUUUGAGGAUAUCCCAAAUCCCAUCCCCAUUUGCCCCACACAUGCAAACAACCCCCCAAUGUGAUAAUUCUCAUCUUGGGGACACCACAAGAACCCAAUUCCAGAAUUCAUCAACAGCUCCUCAUUUCCCACACCUUUUGCCCUUCUUCUACCCAUAUGUUCAAACAUUAUAGAAAAUAGAAUUAUCUCCCCAAAGUUUUGCAGUAUUCAACACCACCAGAGCCCUCUUUUAUAUCCCACAGAUAUAAGAAACGGAUGCUUCCCACACUUAUGUAUGAACUAAGUUUGCUAAAAAUUCAAAAUUUUCCUCCACCAACAACACAAAAACAAAGUUCAAUACUCAUGUAUAACAAUAAGGGUAUACGAAUACGAAUAUUCUGACUUAAACAAGGAAAACUACAAAAAUGGGUGGAAAUUACCACAAAAACGCUUCUUCUCCUAAUUUGCUCUGCUCUCUUCGUCCCUUCCCUUCUCUGUAAAACGAAGCCGAGCUCAGUAGAGAAUGAAGGGAUGGGCGGAGAGUGCAAAACUUUGUAUAUAUAAAUAUUGUAUUGUUGCGCGCCCAAGCCCCGGAAUAAACCUGAGACCCCUUCGUGUUCAAGUAUACUUAAAAGGGCAUGAAGCAUGUUUCUGUAUUGUCUCCCAUUGAGAGCACCGGCUUGCAUAUGUUUUCGAGCCACCUCAAGAGGGAAAGUUGCACUGCUUGAAAUUGCACCAGCUGCAGAUCCAAUUAAAAGGGUAGCAAUAUUUCCAAUUUCCUCCUUAUUGAAAACUUUCUUAUAAGACUUUCUUAACGUGUCGUAGGCAUAAUAAUUUGUGGCAGCAUAUGGUAUUACUCCUAUUAAACUCGGAGUGAGGCCUCUAUAUAGUUCUGCAGGUCCCUCUUCCCUUACAAUUUUUAGGAAUGCAUCGACAAGAUUUUUGUAGACGCCCCUCUGCAGAUGAAAAGGGCAGUAAAUGCAAAAAAAUCUGACAAGGAAUUACUAUAGACUUGAAUAUUUUACGCUAAUCGCGUUUAUUAUUUAUUAGGCAUUCAUGAUAUAGGCCGCCAUCACCAACCACCUUAAUUUAUAUAAUAAGCCCAAUAAUACGUCAAACCAUAUUUCAUUCAUAUAUUUUGUGAAACUUACAAGUAUUAUCCACUCUUCUAUCUUUCAUUUUUAUCUAUUUAUAAACAAAUCUCAAACAUGUAUUAAAGCUUAUUGAACAUAUUUUUUAAUUUUGAAUAAUGAUAUUCAUCUAAAUUAUUAUUAGUCCCCAAUCGAAGUAUAAGUGAAAUGGAAUGAUAUGAUUGUACUUCUCAAAUAUAAGGGUAAUGAUCCAUUCAACAUGUCCAUUCAUGUAACUGAUACCUAGAUGAUUGAUUAUUACAGAUGAAUAACACUAUUUUUUUUUUUUACUUCACACAUUUUAUAAGAUCUAAAACAUACUGCUUGUUAUUCAGAUAUUUUAUAGGGCUUGUAACUUAAAAGCAUGACUAAACACACGCUAAAUUUGAUUAAUGAAAACAAUUUAAAAUCAUAUUAUCAUUUUGUAGAAUAAUUUUAUUAUAAAAUAAUUUUACGUUAAUCAUGAAAAUGGGUAAGUGAAUAAGGUAGAGCUAAUUCCUGCAACAGCACCUGCAAUUGGAGCAGCAGGUAUGCAUAGUUUGGGAUGCUCUCCAGGUUUUGGUGUCAGCUGCUUCUUAACUGUGUCAUAAGCAAAUAACUGCACGUAUUUCAGACAAAAGUGCCAAUUUAUAAGCAAUACAUACAGAUUUAUUAGUUAAAAUCAUCAGGACAGGAUGUAAAGUACAACCCAACUUCAGAAUAGGAUGCCCAUUUCUUUUUAACAACAAUCCGUUUUUGUUUCCCUACGAGUCUACAACUGUCUUAUCCUUUAAAAUUGAACAAAUCCACAAGGAGCUCAUCAAUGUGCCUGAAAAUUGUUUACGCCAUUAUUUAACAAUUAAGCCUUCAAAAUCAAGUUAAUGUUUCCCAGACAAACAUAUUUUUUUUAGCAGCAAGGAAAAAGUCAAGGACAAAAGUAGCUAAAAUGCCAAUAGUAUAUACUGAUGGCCCUACAUUAUUAAAAGGAACUUUUGAAGAAAUAUCAACUCAAGUAAACUCAUUAUCACAACUUAGGACAAGCACCCAAUUUCUAACAUCAAUACUAUUCCAAUUGCACAAGCUAAAUACACGAUGGUGCUCACAUAAUUUACUAGAUAAUACCGUGUAGUACUAGAUAAUUUACUUUACCAAACAAGCUAUAUAGGUUACAAGAAGUUCAUCAGUAGCAUGUUCAACUAAAUGCCGUAGCUUGAACUACAUCAUCGGGCAAAUAAUCAUUGGCAUCCAUUUGAUCAACAAGUAAAACAAAUACUACAAAUCAACGCGAUAUGGGGGCAUACAAGAUAAACAAUAUGUAACUAAUGAAGCAAUCAAUUAGACAUAAAAUUUAGUGAUAAUUCAGUGAGAACAUAAAAAUGAAUCUUAAACAAAUUGCUAUCUUAUACCUCUAUUGCCUUGCUUGGUGCAACCCGAAUAACAUUCACGAGAUUACCCCUGAAUAAGCCCUGCCAUCCUUCGUGCUUCAAUAUAUUCUGGAAUACUUCAGUCGUUGAAUGGCCACAACUUCCUACCAUCAAAUGAGUCCUUACUGUCUCCAGUGGAGCCACUGCAGUACGUGAAACUGCACCUGCAAUCCCUCCGCUUAUCAACCUCCUCAACGAUGGAUUCCCAAUCUUAACUUUUAAGUUAAGACCACUUUUUUUCUUAUUUUUCGUAGUCAGCACCCCUUCCUCUCCAACUUUCAAAGCUUCACCCGGCAUUGAUUCCACCUUUCCACCCAUAGACAAACCAGGUUCUGGCAACCCGUGCUUCCCGAAAGAAAUCGGAAGCUUUAAGGCAUUGUCUGUAGAUUUUG
rnacentral:lncRNA from 1 species